GUCCGUGAUUUGUCAAAAAAAAAAUUGAUAUUUUCUGUCCGUGACUUUCAUCAAACAACUUCCCAUCAUAAAAACAAAAAACAUUUCCUCUUCACACAAUCACCGCAGAAUCGCUAACUACGGCCGCCGUUACCAGAACUCAUAAUUCGUCUUGUUUCGGUACCUUCAUUUACCGCCAGAAAGACCAAAUCCGCCUCUAUGUUGAUACUCUUCUUCAGUGGAACCAGAUGCGUCAUACACGCAUAAGAACAUAAAAUUUAACUAGAUUUUAGUGAUUGUUUUUUUUUUUUUUAUGAAGUUUUGAAUUCUGAGAAUGUUGCAGAAAAUGAACCUGACUGCGGUUACAGAUGUGAAUAAAGUAAUGGGGAGGCAUAUUGAGGACUCACUAGCAAUACUACCUACUCUACAGACUACAUGACUCUUAUAUUUCACACUAUAAUGCUUUAUCAAACUUGUUUAUGUUGGGAUCGGUGCCGGGCUUCCUGGACUGGUUUUGGCUAUUGCUUGUCCUGCUGUAUGGAAAGUAACACUGUUUGGAGUCGAUGAACAGGCGUUGCAUUAUCUUGGAACAUGCAGUUUGUGUUACUGGUUUGUCAAAUGUUGAAGUAUGAGCGGAAGAGCAGAGGACAGAAUUUAGGGAAGAAAGUUUCUUUUAGAGAGAAAUUUGAUGUAGCAGUAGCCAGAGCAGUGGCAGAAAUGAGAAUUUUAGCGGGGUGUUGUCUUUAUUUGGUUCGCGAUGGUGGGUUGUUCAUAGCUGCAAAAGGCUAUAAUCCUCAAGUGUGAAUCUUUUUCAGAUUUCAAGCGUCAACCCACUCAGGAGGAAGUAAGAAAUGCAGAGAGGUCACUCCAAUUGAUGGGCGAAUCAGUAUUGCAACUGCGCUCAGGUACUAUUGCUGUAUUAUCAAUUCAGGCCACUCAAUUUUCAUUCAAUGAUUUAAUUAAUCUUUUGAUAUGUAUAUGUGACGACUUAUAUUUCUGCUUGAUAUUAUACAACGUUUAUUCAAGGCAUCAACUAAAACUUGUAAAUUUGCUCAUAAGAGCAGAGCAACUUGGCUUUUAUUUUGGAGUUUGUAGAACAUGCUGUGUUUAUAGUUUCGAGGGAGAAAUAACGUCUCCAAAGUUGAGGAACUAUAUGUCUGAAGUAAUCUGUCUGAAAACUGAAAAUUAAGACAAACACGAAGCUCCCUUUCUGUGGAUUCCUUAAGAGCGGUUUUCCUGUAGAAUCGAUCCUGAUUCAUGAGCUAAAAAUAUUCAGGACGAGUUCAAUCAGGUGAAAAGAACUGCACAGCAAGGAAGCAAGGAGAAUCUCUUUGGAAGCCUAAACUCUUUGGUAUCUUGCAAUAUUUAGAAUCAACUUUUCUCAUUAGGCAACACAGUUGCAAAUCAAUACUUCCUGCUUGCAAAUUAAUGAAUUUUUUCUUGCUGCUCCUUGCUCAUCAAGUCAUCUGUCAUUGAGUAAUCAAGGGAAUUUGGUUCAUGUACACAAAUGUGCAUAUGCAUAUGCCUCAAUAAAUCUUAUAUUAUGUGAAAUAAGUUACAAAUUGUCGAUAUCUAUUAUAUUUUAACUAUACCUAAUAAAUUAGAAGGAACGGUGUGAUUUAAGUAUCACUAACUUGUAAGAAGCAAUUUGGUUUUCUAUUUGCAUGCGGUUUUUAUUUUAGCAUUACGUGCAAGAAAACGUAAUAAUCAAAUGAAAUAAUUCAAAUAGGGUAGCUAUGAGGAUAAUCCCUAAUAGUAAUUCAAUUAUGGACUGAUGCGGCAGUUCUUCUCUCAUUUGCAUAAUGGUAGAGGGACCUCAUGUUUCACUAUGGCAUCUUCCAUGCCAGUUGUCAGGGCAUCAUUGCUGAUGACAGCCAUUGAUUUGAGCAUUCAACUGUUCAAGUUUUUUGUAAGUUUAUAUACUCAGGUAAAUGCCAUUAUUUGUGGGCAAUAGUUGACUGCUUGCUUGUAUUUAUUUCAUAGUUAGGUUAGAAGUCUCUUCUCUUUUUGUUUGAUAAUCUUUCUCUUCCAUGUGGUGAUGGCAUUAUGGGAACACGUUACCUAAGUUUAGGGAGGUAGAAAGUUUGAGGAGAUUAAAGAGAAGGACAGUGUUAUUUAUAUUUUUAAGGGAUUUAUUAGAUGAGUCUCACAUCUUCAGAUCCCUCUAAUAUCCUCUGCCUAAAAUAAAGGAGUGGCUUUUGAAACCAGGGUACCGGCGGGAAGAGUAGGCUGGAAUAAUGGCCGUCUAGGGAAAAACGACUUCUACCUAACUUACUCUUCCACUUGUAACUUCUUUACGUAGGUCAAACCACUGAUGAUUCUUAUAAAGGAUAAUUAAUCUCAAGAUAUCUAGAAUAGAUAUACCUUAAACACUGCAUAUGCCUUGGCAGAUUAAUUAUAUGUAAAGAAAGCAACUUUCCCAUUUAAUAUUUAAUCAUUUUGCCUUUCUUUAUUCUAUUUGGGUUCUCUAUUGUUUUCAUCUUCAAUAUAUAAUGUCUAAAAUGUUUCGUUGUCAAAAUAUUUCGUUGUCUGUCAUAUUUAUGAAUCUUUUAAUUCCCACUAUCACCUUACAAGAAAGGAACUUGCUUCUUAUGACAAAAAUUGAGAGUGAUGGAACUUUUCUGUAUUCAUUUGCUUUGCUUAUUUUUUCUGCCAUUGGUUCUUUCUUCUAUCGCAUGCAACUGCCUUGGAAAAAACAUCUUCACUUGAAUUAUAUACAACCCUUUUCCUCUACAUUAUUUUUCAAUUUUAGCAGGAAAUUAAGGAGAGGACUACCAUAUUGGAGUUAUUGGGAUGAAUAUAGACUUCUUGAUAUUGCGGUUCUUUACUGUUGCAGAACCCCCAUGCUUCAACCUCAUCAAAGAAGAAAUAAGGGCAGCAACCUGGAAGAUUUCUUGUAUCUGUAAUUCACUUAUGCUUCCUGGUUGUUAUGAAUAUGAAAGCUUACUUUAGCCUCUCCACUCAUGGGGAAACCUUUUUAUUGAAUAGGAUAAAGUAGCUCAAUGUUUAUUUUUUAUUCUGUAUUUUAAAAUCAAAAGUUGGAUUCAUUUUAUAGGUAGGAUCACAAUUCCAACCUCAGCUAAAUGUAGAAUGCGUUGGCAGUUUUUGGAAAUGAAUAUAAAAAUUAGUGUAAA